UCGUGAACAUAGCGAACUGCUCAGUAACACGUGGAUAACCUACCCUUAGGACCGGAAUAACCCCGGGAAACUGGGGAUAAUACCGGAUAAGCCAUAGACGCUGGAAUGCCCUAUGGUUCAAAGCUCCGGCGCCUAAGGAUGGAUCUGCGGUCUAUCAGGUUGUAGUGGGUGUAACGUACCUACUAGCCGACGACGGAUACGGGUUGUGAGAGCAAGAGCCCGGAGAUGGAUUCUGAGACACGAAUCCAGGCCCUACGGGGUGCAGCAGGCGCGAACACUUUACAAUGCGGGAAACCGCGAUAAGGGAACCCCGAGUGCCAGCAUCAAAUGUUGGCUGUCCGGAUGAUUAAAAAUCAUUUGUUAGCAAGGGCCGGGCAAGACCGGUGCCAGCCGCCGCGGUACCACCGGCGGCCCGAGUGGUAGCCGUUUUUAUUGGGUCUAAAGGGUCCGUAGCCGGCCUGAUAAGUCCUUUGGGAAAUCUGGCAGCUUAACUGUCAGGCUUCUAAGGGAUACUGUCAGGCUUGGGACCGGAAGAGGUAAGGCGUACUCCAGGGGUAGGAUGUGAAAUCUGUGUAAUCCCUGGGGGACCAUCAGUGGCGAAGGCGCCUUACCAGAACGGGUCCGACGGUGAGGGACGAAAGCUAGGGGAGCAAACCGGAUUAGAUACCCGGGUAGUCCUAGCUGUAAACGAUGCUCGCUAGGUGUCAGACACGGUGCGACCGUGUUUGGUGCCGCAGGGAAGCCGUUAAGCGAGCCACCUGGGAAGUACGGUCGCAAGGCUGAAACUUUAAAGGAAUUGGCGGGGGAGCACUACAACGGGUGGAGCCUGCGGUUUAAUUGGACUUCAACGCCGGAAAACUCACCGGGUGCGACAGCAACAUGUAGGUCAGGCUGAAGGUCUUUACCUGAUCGCUGAGAGGAGGUGCAUGGCCGUCGUCAGUUCGUACUGUGAAGCAUCCUGUUAAGUCAGGCAACGAGCGAGAACCCGCGCCCACAGUUGCCAGCAUGUUCUCUGGAACGA
rnacentral:rRNA from 1 species